rnacentral:rRNA from 1 species
AGUGAACGCUGGCGGUAGGCCUAACACAUGCAAGUCGAACGGCAGCACAGUAAGAGCUUGCUCUUACGGGUGGCGAGUGGCGGACGGGUGAGGAAUACAUCGGAAUCUACUUUUUCGUGGGGGAUAACGUAGGGAAACUUACGCUAAUACCUCAUACGACCUACGGGUGAAAGCAGGGGAUCUUCGGACCUUGCUCGAUUGAAUGAGCCGAUGUCGGAUUAGCUAGUUGGCGGGGUAAAGGCCCACCAAGGCGACGAUCCGUAGCUGGUCUGAGAGGAUGAUCAGCCACACUGGAACUGAGACACGGUACAGACUCCUACGGGAGGCAGCAGUGGGGAAUAUUGGACAAUGGGCGCAAGCCUGAUCCAGCCAUACCGCGUGGGUGAAGAAGGCCUUCGGGUUGUAAAGCCCUUUUGUUGGGAAAGAAAAGCAGCAGGUUAAUACCCCGCUGUUCUGACGGUACCCAAAGAAUAAGCACCGGCUAACUUCGUG